GGGCACUUAACAGUUACUUUAAAAAUUGGCUGCAACUUGAGCUCUUUGAGUUGGGAGAAUACAGAAGUCCUCUUCUCAGAAGACUUCCCUUUUGCUAGGAAAUUAUAUUAAUGGGCUUGUCUUUGGUGAGCAGUGAAUCCCCAGGGCUUAGGGUCUGCAAGGAGAGAGUAAGCCAGGUGAGAAGGGAAGUGCAUGUUAGGUGGGCUCUGCAGCAGACGGUGAUAGCAUUUGCAGGGCUGGGGUGGGGAGGCGGGCCCAGAGGGCCCUGAAAUGCAGUCUGUUCCCUCCACACUGAGCAGCAACUCCUGCACCCAUCAGUCUAAACCUUUGGGAAAAGUCUGCUCUGCACAGCAACCUUGUGUGAGUGGGAUUUUGUGCAAAUGAAGGAUGGGGUUGGGGCUAGCAUGGAGGAAAGCAGCAGGAGGGUCAGCAGACAAGGGCAGCAGAUGCCAGCGGGAAGAGGGAGAAGAGCAGCAGAAACUCAGGGCCAGAGGGUCCCAGGGCAGAGGAAACAUUGUGAGAAUCCUGCUAGGAGUUGGUGGGGGUAGAUGAGUCUUGUGGGUGGUUGAGUUUUCUACAAUAUUAGGGAAGGAUCUUGGCUUCUC
rnacentral:lncRNA from 1 species